rnacentral:rRNA from 1 species
GACAGAGGAUGCAAGCGUUAUCCGGAAUGAUUGGGCGUAAAGCGUCUGUAGGUGGCUUUUUAAGUCCGCCGUCAAAUCCCAGGGUUCAACCCUGGACAGGUGGUGGAAACUACCAAGCUAAAGUAUGGUAGGGGCAGAGGGAAUUUCCGGUGGAGCGGUGAAAUGCGUAGAGAUCGAAAAGAACACCAAUGGCAAAAGCACUCUGCUGGGCCAACACUCACAUUUAGAGACGAAAGCUAGGGGAGCGAAU